UUGCAUAUUGCCAUUUGGACAGCGGAUUCGUAGAUCAAUCUCAUUGAUAAGUGAAGAUACCUUAUCAGUGUAAGUCGAGGCGACAUACAUCAAUAAGCCAGUUGUUGCCAACCGUUGAUGAGAGCGGAUCUAAGAUAAAUUAAGUGGUGUGAUUUGCUGUGGCACUGGGCUCAUUUUGCAUAUUGCCAUUUGGACAGCGGAUUCGUAGAUCAAUCUCAUUGAUAAGUGAAGAUACCUUAUCAGUGUAAGUCGAGGCGACAUACAUCAAUAAGCCAGUUGUUGCCAACCGUUGAUGAGAGCGGAUCUAAGAUAAAUUAAGUGGUGUGAUUUGCUGUGGCACUGGGCUCAUUUUGCAUAUUGCCAUUUGGACAGCGGAUUCGUAGAUCA